rnacentral:rRNA from 1 species
AUUGAACGCUGGCGGCAGGCCUAACACAUGCAAGUCGAACGAGUGGCGGACGGGUGAGUAAUGUCUGGGAAACUGCCUGAUGGAGGGGGAUAACUACUGGAAACGGUAGCUAAUACCGCAUACCAUCAGAUGUGCCCAGAUGGGAUUAGCUAGUUGUUGGGGUAAAGGCUCACCAAGGCGACGAUCCCUAGCUGGUCUGAGAGGAUGAUCAGCCACACUGGGACUGAGACACGGUCCAGACUCCGACGGGAGGCAGAAGUGGGGAAUAUUGCACAAUGGGCGCAAGCCUGAGGCAGCCAUGCCGCGUGUAUGAAGAAGGCCUUCGGGUUGUAAAGUACUUUCAGCGGGGAGGCGUUACCCGCAGAAGAAGCACCGGCUAACUCCGUGCCAGCAGCCGCGGUAAUAC